UCCCAGACUCCUACGGGAGGCAGCAGUAGGGAAUCUUUCACAAUGGGCGAAAGCCUGAUGGAGCAACGCCGCGUGCAGGAUGAAGGCCUUCGGGUUGUAAACUGCUUUUAUAAGCGAGAAAUAUGAUGGUAACUUAUGAAUAAGGAUCGGCUAACUACGUGCCAGCAGCCGCGGUAAUACGUAGGGGGCGAGCGUUAUCCGGAUUCACUGGGUGUAAAGGGAGCGUAGACGGCCAUGCAAGCCAGGGGUGAAAGCCCGGGGCCCAACCCCGGGACUGCCCUUGGAACUGCAUGGCUGGAGUGCGGGAGGGGCAGGCGGAAUUCCUGGUGUAGCGGUGAAAUGCGUAGAUAUCAGGAGGAACACCGGCGGCGAAGGCAGCCUGCUGGACCGCGACUGACGUUGAGGCCCGAAAGCGUGGGGAGCAAACAGGAUUAGAUACCCUAGUAGGG
rnacentral:rRNA from 1 species